rnacentral:rRNA from 1 species
GGGUUGUGAGGUUAAGCGACUAAGCGUACACGGUGGAUGCCCUGGCAGUCAGAGGCGAUGAAGGGCGUGCUAAUCUGCGAUAAGCGCCGGUAAGGUGAUAUGAACCGUUAUAACCGGCGAUACCCGAAUGGGGAAACCCAGUGUGACUCGUCACACUAUCAUUAACUGAAUCCAUAGGUUAAUGAGGCGAACCGGGGGAACUGAAACAUCUAAGUACCCCGAGGAAAAGAAAUCAACCGAGAUUCCCCCAGUAGCGGCGAGCGAACGGGGAGGAGCCCAGAGCCUGAAUCAGCAUGUGUGUUAGUGGAAGCGUCUGGAAAGGCGCGCGAUACAGGGUGACAGCCCCGUACACAAAAGCGCAUGUGCUGUGAGCUCGAUGAGUAGGGCGGGACACGUGGUAUCCUGUCUGAAUAUGGGGGGACCAUCCUCCAAGGCUAAAUACUCCUGACUGACCGAUAGUGAACCAGUACCGUGAGGGAAAGGCGAAAAGAACCCCGGCGAGGGGAGUGAAAAAGAACCUGAAACCGUGUACGUACAAGCAGUGGGAGCACCCUUUGGGUGUGACUGCGUACCUUUUGUAUAAUGGGUCAGCGACUUAUAUUCUGUAGCAAGGUUAACCGAAUAGGGGAGCCGGAGGGAAACCGAGUCUUAACCGGGCGUUAAGUUGCAGGGUAUAGACCCGAAACCCGGUGAUCUAGCCAUGGGCAGGUUGAAGGUUGGGUAACACUAACUGGAGGACCGAACCGACUAAUGUUGAAAAAUUAGCGGAUGACCUGUGGCUGGGGGUGAAAGGCCAAUCAAACCGGGAGAUAGCUGGUUCUCCCCGAAAGCUAUUUAGGUAGCGCCUCGUGAAUUCAUCUCCGGGGGUAGAGCACUGUUUCGGCUAGGGGGCCAUCCCGGCUUACCAACCCGAUGCAAACUGCGAAUACCGGAGAAUGUUAUCACGGGAGACACACGKCGGGUGCUAACGUCCGGYGUSAAGAGGGAAACAACCCAGACCGCCAGCUAAGGUCCCUAAAUAUUGCUAAGUGGGAAACGAAGUGGGAAGGCUAAAACAGUCAGGAGGUUGGCUUAGAAGCAGCCACCCUUUAAAGAAAGCGUAAUAGCUCACUGAUCGAGUCGUCCUGCGCGGAAGAUGUAACGGGGCUAAGCAAUAUACCGAAGCUGCGGAUGCACGUAAGUGCAUGGUAGGAGAGCGUUCUGUAAGCCUGUGAAGGUGUCUUGUAAAGGAUGCUGGAGGUAUCAGAAGUGCGAAUGCUGACAUGAGUAGCGAUAAAGGGGGUGAAAGGCCCCCUCGCCGUAAGCCCAAGGUUUCCUACGCAACGUUCAU